rnacentral:rRNA from 1 species
UACGUAGGGAGCAAGCGUUGUUCGGAUUUACUGGGCGUAAAGGGCGCGUAGGCGGCGCGGUAAGUCACUUGUGAAAUCUCUGAGCUUAACUCAGAACGGCCAAGUGAUACUGCAGUGCUAGAGUGCAGAAGGGGCAAUCGGAAUUCUUGGUGUAGCGGUGAAAUGCGUAGAUAUCAAGAGGAACACCAGUGGCGAAGGCGAGUCCCUGGACAACACCUGACACUGAGGCACGAAAGCUAGGGGAGCAAACAGG